rnacentral:rRNA from 1 species
AGCAGCCGCCGGGGAAUACAGAGGAUGCAAGCGUUAUCUGGAAUGAUUGGGCAUAAAGUGUCUGUAGGUGGCUUUUCAAGUCCGCCGUCAAAUCCCAGGGCUCAACCGUGGACAGGCGGUGGAAACUACCAAGCUGGAGUAUGGUAGGGGCAGAGGGAAUUUCCGGUGGAGCGGUGAAAUGCGUUGAGAUCGGGAGGAACAUCAGUGGCGAAGGCGGCCAUCUGGGACAACACUGACGCUGAGGCACGAAAGCGUGGGGAGCAAACAGGAUUAGAUACCCCUGUAGUCCCUGUCUCUUAUACA